CUGGCAAGCAUAAAUCAUGAACCAUGUGAAUUGUUCCUGCAGGAGUGGAAAACCGGGGUCUUGGUAGUAUAUGAUACUGUGCUGGGAUGGGAUUAAUUUUUUGAAGCAAUCUGUAAGUUUCACCAGGAGAGCCUCAGGUUGGAUAUUAGGAAAAACUUCUUCUCAGAAAGAGUAGUGAUGCAUUGGCACAGGCUGCCCAGGGAGGUGGUGGACUCACUGUGCCUGGGGCUGGUUGAGAAGGGUGGAGAUGUGGCACUGAGAGAUGUGGUCAGUGGGCACGGUGGGGAUGGGUUGGGGUUGGACUAUGUGAUCUCAGCAGCCUUUUCCAGCCUUAACCAUUCAGUGAUACAGUGCUGUGCUUUACAUUUGUGACCUGAAUGAUGCUGAUAACACAGCAGUGUUUCAGAUUUUACUGAUCAGGGUUUGCACAAUGUUAAGCUUUCUCUGUUUCUCACUCUGCCCCCGCUGCAAGGAGCUGGGGGUAUAGGAGAAGCUGGGAGGGGACACAGCUGUGACUGUCAGCAGCCUUUCCAGAGAAGCUAUUGCUUGGAGACUGGCUGAGCAUUGGUUUGCUUGGGAAAGGUACAAGUGAAUGUCUUUGUAUGACUUGGUGGGAAUGGACAAAUCAAACCGUAUUUGAAAUUUCCAUGUUUCUUCAUGCUGAGAUUGUGAUGUUUGGCUGUAUAGUGAAUAGGGGCUAUUACCAAAGAAAAAGGUUUCCUUACCCAUUUUUCCCAAGGUCCAGUGCAACUUGUUACGGUUAGGAAGAUCUGUAAGGACACACAGCCCUCUUCAGUUAUGACAAACAGUGAUGGGGUUUGCUCAGUUAACCAGCAGGACGUGGCAUCUCUGAUUCUGUUCUUUGGCAAUUUAAUCUCAUUCCUAACUCUACAGCCCCGCCGUGUGGAGGCCAUUAGCAGGUAAGAGAUGAAUACUGAACAAAUAGGGAUUAAUCCUUUAUUUUUUUGAUUGGAUUUUCAGAGGAUUAGCUGUGUUCUAAAUAGUUAGAACCUUUUUUCCUUUGAGAGGAAUUCAACCCUAUUUGGCCAGGCUGAUGUGAAGCCAUUUUGUGAAAAGAGGUGGAAGGCAGCACACGACAUCAGAAUGCCAUUGCUGAUCGUGUGGUGUUACAAUUCCAAUUCUAAUUAAAAUUAGCCUUUUCCUACCUAUCAUCUACCUCUUUUUUAAUAGUAGUAAUUUUAAUUAGAAUUGUAACACCACAGCAUUAGCAAUGGCAGUGGAACAAAGGUGAGAGUGCGCCCAGUGGGCUGCUUUCACUACCAUGUUAGGUUAAAAUCAAGAAUAGAAGUAGUAAGAUUCAGCCAGUUUCUAUACUGGGAGAAUAAAAUGAAGUUUUAAAGAUGGAAAAAGGAAAAACUAUCUCACAAAAUCCUUGCUACCACAGAUGAAUUAUUUACUAUAUGUACAAAUCUUUUUUGGUACAAAAACACAGAUUAGGUUUAAAAUAUUACUUUUGUUUCUCUCUUUAUCAUUUCUUACCCUUCUUCCUCUGGAUCAAUACAUUUAAGGCACUGAACCAAAAGAACCAAAGGGUAAUGGUUUUAAUUAAAUAUAAACAUAACUACACUAGAGAAACACUGUUGCAUUCAGAUGGGAAAUUUACAUUAAACUGAGCUGGCAGACAUCACAAGCCUGAAUUCAUUGGGCACACUGUAUAUAUUAAUCUGUUCUUAGCAGUGUGACUGUUUCUCAUUUGGAAGAAUUAAUGAGAUGCAGAUGGACAGAUGUGCAUGGAGACAACGUUAUAAGCAGCAAGAAAGAGCUGGAACCUGCAGAGCAGAAUUUCAUUAUUGAAUUGGUUGGAUUAGACGACCUCAGUGGUCUUUUCCAACCUCAAUGAUUUCUGUGAUUCUAUCCAGCAUACAUAAACUAUGGAUCACAGAAACGGUAUAACUGUGGAUGUUUAUUCCUUUCCGGAGUGCUCUCCCAUAACAGCAGCAAAGCAGUGGAAAUGUAACAGACAACAGAAAUGACAUUCCCAAGGCAGCACUGAAGGAGGAUACCUGAUGGAAGUGCUGCUCUAUCUCAGCUCGACCGCCUGCCCGGCUCAGUGCCUCGCAAUGCCUGACACUCAGAGAAUGCCUCGGAAGAUCCAGGUGGAAGUGCAGUAUGCUGAAGUGAGGAAAUCCACACCCCAGCUCAAUUAUUGGAUUGAUUGUUUUUCUCCUAAGGUCCCACUGGCAAAAAUUACAUCCACGCUGGAAGUGGUGGCAAAACUGCCACUGAGCAACCCAUACCAGCUCCUGUCUGAACAUCUGCUGCCAGAGGCCCCUUACGUGUCUGUUUGUUUCCUAUGUUUUAAAGGUGGAUAUGUCAGAGAUAUGUAAGAAAGUUAACCUUCUAUUUCCUUUUUUUUUAAUAUCCUCAAACUGUACAAGUAGAAGGUAAGGCAAAAAUAAUGUAUUGCAAUUUAAAACUAUUUAUACUACUUGAAGUUAGUGUUUGAGUUGAGCUCAGGAUUCUGUUGUUGUUUCCUUUCCCAAGUCCACCAGCUGCCAAGUGAUGCACUUAGAUGUAGGUCCUCCAAAAGUGAUGUCUCCUAUUUAUUUCCAUGGAAACCACUGCGGAUACAAAGAGCUCCAUAACACUGUUUGGUAGAGCAAAUUCUCAGCUACAGGUUUAAUGUGAGAACCCACAGUUUGUGUUCACAGCCUGGGAAGGUUAUCCGAGGCGCGCACAAUUGCACAGGAGACCUGUUCAGUGUUGGAAGAGAACAGGAAGAAAGCACAGAGCAGAGUUUCCACAUCUGUGUGCAGAAAGAAAGCUGAUAACAGCUCUUAGGUGCCUCAGAGGGCGCAGGGAAGCUCAGGUGUUAAGCACCUGCUCUUGGGCAAAGAGCUGCAUGGCCUCCAUGCAGGUCUCUGGGUGAACUCUGUAGCAAGCUGGGAUCAGCUCAGUAGCUGGAUGAUGGCACUGUGUGGGCUGUGUCUCCUCUGAAAGCAGGGCAAGAGGACCGAGUGGUGAGCAGCACUGGGCUGCUUUGGCAGAGAAUGCUAUGAGGCUGAGCCUGAGCUCUGCUAACCACUUCCUUCAGCUCCAAGUGCCUAGCCUACUUCAGUUCCCAGUGAAUUCUCAGCUUUAUUACCACCACCUUUGUGGGGAGGGGCUCCUCACACACCACAUAGGCUGGUCAGACAAAUAAAGGGGGUAACAAAUUUCACAAUUUGCACACUAAUUUUUAUGGGUGGCAGCAGCAGUGACAGAGUACUGCAGUUACUUUCUCCGGGCAGUCAGCAGACCUAAAAGGCCGUCUGUUUUCUUUCCUGACUACAAUCAUUGUAAGCCUGGAGGUGCUGGAGGCACACUGCAGCACAGAUACUGACGGCGAGGAGCUGGCUGUGCAAACAGCUUCAUAACGUGCUGAGGAGAGGGAAGCAGGGCGGGAAACUGAACUUCUGUUCUAACUCAGACACCAGCUUCACUUUGGUUUUAUUUCUAGCUCCUAAACGUACUGAAAUAUAACUAUCCUAAAAGUUCAGCAGCUGGCCUCAUGCUGAGUAUUUAUACCUUCAACUUUGUAUGUGAGAUGUAAAAAAAAAAAAAAGACUCUCAGAAUGACUGAUAUAUGUCCAUGAAGUGGUGUCUUAAUGACAACAGUAUGAGAGAUAAUGGCUUUAAGUUGUGCCAGGGGAGCUUCAGGUGGGAUAUUAGGAGAAAUUUCUUCUCAGGAAGAGUGGUGAUGCAUUGGCAUGGGCUGCUCAGGGAGGUGGAGGGUUCACUGACCUGGGGGGUGUUCAAGAAAUGUGGAGAUGUGGCAGUGAGGGAUGUGGUCAGUGAUAUGGAGGUGAUGGGCUGACAGCUGCACUAGGUGAUGGUAGUGGUCUUUUACUACUGUAAUAACUCUAUGAUCCAUCUGAACGCAUCUGUUCUGCUUCAUCUCCUUAUUGAUGUUUUUAUAUGCAUUGCAUGCUUCUUGUCAUUUUAAAGUGAUCUGUGAAGUCUGAUCAGAGCAAUCUUCUUGUUUUUAAGGGCAGAGGAAGCCAGAAGAAAUCUGUCUUUGUGCAUCUGACUCAUCUGUGGAGAAAAAGGGAAAGACUGGAAGAAGUAACAGUGAGAGGAAGAAAAACGAUGCUUAAGUUCCUAAAGAAGCAGCUUUUGUCCCAAUCCUCCCAUGCCACAGAUCACUACCAGGAAAAGAAGAGCAACUCUCUUCAUGGCGAGAGGAACUGACUGCGAUCCUUCAGCAAAAUGACCUGAAAAAGUGGAAGUAGUAAGCACCUGGCUGCUCUCAAUUUAAAGGCUUGGUGCACAAAGAAGCCUCUUUCCAGCUACACGUGGGAUGGAUGUAAUUUUUUAAAAAUAUUUAUUUAAAUAAUAAAUCACCCUUCAGUAGGCAUGUACCCAUAAUUUAUAGCCUGAGGAAGUGCCGAAUAAGCUGUGAACUCCCAUGAAGGUAACAAGACAAAUCUUGUAAAUGCAGUUAUAUACAGAACGAUAGUUGUAUAACUGAGAAGCACAUUCCUAUCCAGAAUGAACAUGUCAUAUUUGAUUUUUAGCAGGUCUUUUCCAUUCUCCAGCUGCUUUAUAGCUAUCUUCAAGACAGAACUUGUAAUGCCAUUUUAAAGUAAAAAAGAUAAAACUUCCAAAACAA